UACGGAGGGUGCAAGCGUUGUCCGGAUUCAUUGGGUUUAAAGGGUGCGUAGGCGGUUCUAUAAGUCAGUGGUGAAAUCCGGCAGCUCAACUGUCGAUGUGCCAUUGAUACUGCAGAACUUGAGUACAGACGAGGUAGGCGGAAUUGACGGUGUAGCGGUGAAAUGCUUAGAUAUCGUCAAGAACACCGAUAGCGAAGGCAGCUUACUAGACUGUAACUGACGCUGAUGCACGAAAGUGUGGGGAUCAAACAGG
rnacentral:rRNA from 1 species